rfam:Triticum aestivum genome assembly, contig: Triticum_aestivum_CS42_TGACv1_scaffold_220694_3B
AAUGUACUCCCUCCGUUCGAAAAUACUUGUCUCGAAAAUGGAUGUAUCUAGAACUAAAAUAUGUCUAGAUACAUCCAUUUCUGCGACAAAUAAUUCCGAACGGAGGGAGUACGUA